CAAGGAGGGAGGAAAGCCCUCGGUCCCCUCGGCUCGGGGGGCGCCCAGCCCGGCUCAGCUCGGCGGGCGCGCCCCAUCACCCCCCUCCCACGUCCUCUGCGGACAGCUCUGAGGGGGCGCGCGCACCGCAGGGCCUCCUCCGGUCUCUGCGGCUGGCGUCCGUCUGACUGUCCGAGGCUUUGGAACAGAUUAUCGCAGCCCUUUCAGAGCGCGCACAACAAAUGCGCCCGCCAUCGAAUGCAGCAUUUACCACCGCAGAUCCGCGCGCCGAUGGGCAGGCAGAUAGCGUCCGCGGGGGGCUCGCCGGGCGGCGAGUGUGCGCCCCGGCUCUGCCCGGUGUGUUUGGAGGAACACGUGGGUAUGCCAGCGAGUGGACCCUCAGCAAGCAAGAAUGCCUCACUCCACACGGGGUGGACGCAGUAGCCGGCGUUUGAGCCAGUGGCACAGGCUUUUGGAACCCGCACGGAUCUGUGGGGCAGUGUGCACCCAGGACUACCGCGUGUGCCCAGAGAUGCGCGAAAGGAAGGUCCGGUUUCGGGCCUUGCUCGAGCCUCUGUUGUGCAGACUCGGGGUUGGACAUUGGCUGUGAGGAAGAGACCGACCGCUGUGCGCCCGGUCCCGAGAGUGCUGGAGAGUGACACCGGGCCAGCGGCUGUUUGGGGACUUUGAGAAUGCCCAGGGGUCCUGGUCCUGGCCCAGGGGCCCCUCUGCCAAAGCAUUGCAGCUGGGACGACAGAGCCCAGCCCGCCGCCCGAGGUCCCGGCCGUGAGUGACACGCGCCGCCACAAAGGCUGUAUUUUUCCAGGCCCGUGCCCCGCCCGCGCGCGAUGGUCCCCAUGGCGACGCAGAUAGCGCGCGGCCAUUUUCCUAUCUCCCCGGAGUCUAUUAUACAGCGGGAUUAGCUCAUCUCCAGGCAGGUCAAACCCAAAGUCACACAACCUGCGGCGUGAGCCCCGCCUCCGGCCGCUCCUCCUCCUCCGCAGCCGGAGCGGGCUACCCCCGUGGCGCGGCCCGUUCGCGGGUGCAGAGCGCCACCUGGCGGCCGCGAGCACCCGGCGCGCUGCGUGAGAGCCUGCAGGUGCCCAGGGCUGUGGCUUUGUGUGGUGGCUUGGGCGACCCCUAGGGAAAAGCUGGCACACAGUAAGUACCCCCAAACCAUUUGCUGGAGGGAUGAACAGGCAGGUAAGUCGACAGGGGCGGACUUCCAAAGGCCACCGCAUGUUGGCAACUGAAUGAAGAAUAAAAGCCGAUCUCCCUGCAACCCUGGUAGAAGCCUUGCUGGCCCAGGCCCAGUUUCCUUCCUCCUUCCUCCAGGAACCACGGCCUUUGGGUUCUCUGGACAGGAAACCUGUCUCCCUGUGUCUGCUGGUUCUUCCACCCAGAGACAUCAGCUUGUGAUCAAAUGUCACCAUCAGACAGAAGUUGUUCUCCUCUCCCCUAUGCCGCCUCUGCUUGAUAGUCAAUUUCAUAUUAUCUAACGAAUUUUCUAAUAACAAUUCUCAAUAGAAGUCUGUGAUGUUCUGGACAAUGGCGGAGAGGUGGAAUUCUGACUGGCUGGGAUUAUCACAACGUUAAGAACUGGUUGAGGACCAGAGGGGUAAGCCCCAUGGGCCAGGUUGCCCAGCUCUGUCUUCAUGGAACCUAGGAUACUCACUAGCUGUGAGUUACAAGAGUUACUCAGAAGCCACUCCUGCCCUGGGGUCAUCGCCCACCUACCCCAUCUGAAGGGGACUACAGGGCACUGACUCCUCUGCACCCGCAGUGAAGUCCUCCCUCCAGGAUCAUGGACUGUUGCCUUGUGUGUGAGCUUGCCUUUGAAAGCAUUUUGUGAGCCUGGCUUGUCAAGUUGGCAGACAAAUGUCUGCCAGCACUCUGGAGAGGGAUAUCUCAUAUAAAGAAUCUCAUGUCUUGCUUCUUGUGGAACACUUCAAGAUCGGCUACUUUGUGCCUGAGUUCCUGCAGUGGUGAAGGAAUGCUGGAGUUCUGCAGAACCUCCUCUGAGCACCUGAUGCCAGCCCAUCCCCACCCCGGGGGUCAGGGUGUGUCUCUCACCAAGACACUGAGUACUAGUGGUUGUGUUAGUUUUGACUUCCCUUCCAUCACUGGGGCCUUCUGACUUGUUUUCAUGCAAGCAACAUUUAAAGGAGACACACAGCCGUACUAUAAAGGUCCCUGGCUGUUCAUAUUCAACUUUGCCCCACCUACCAAUACAGUGAAGCAGCCAGACCUGACUCAUCAUAUAGAUUAAUAAAUCUUCAGAUUAUGGUAGGAAUUGGGAGGGGAUAUGGUUUCUAAUAUUCAGGCCUUCCUCUAGAAAGUGGGAGCCAUGGAGUAGAAGAAAAGUGGAUGCAGCCACACUGUGUGCAGCAGUUAGAGGCGAGGUAAAAAAAAAAAAAAAAAAAGCAGUAGGCACAGCAAUGGCCACGAGGAGGUCUGAGGAGAAGGCUCUCACAAGAGCUCAGGG
rnacentral:lncRNA from 1 species